GACGAACGCUGGCGGCGUGCUUAACACAUGCAAGUCGAACGGCAGCACGGGUGCUUGCACCUGGUGGCGAGUGGCGAACGGGUGAGUAAUAUAUCGGAACGUACCUUAUUGUGGGGGAUAACGCAGCGAAAGCUGUGCUAAUACCGCAUACGCCCUGAGGGGGAAAGCGGGGGAUCGCAAGACCUCGCGCGAUUAGAGCGGCCGAUGCCUGAUUAGCUUGUUGGUGGGGUAAGAGCCCACCAAGGAGACGAUCAGGAGCUGGUCUGAGAGGACGAUCAGCCACACUGGGACUGAGACACGGCCCAGACUCCUACGGGAGGCAGCAGUGGGGAAUUUUGGACAAUGGGGGCAACCCUGAUCCAGCAAUGCCGCGUGAGUGAAGAAGGCCUUCGGGUUGUAAAGCUCUUUUGUCAGGGAAGAAACACCGGCUCUAACACAGUCCGGGAAUGACGGUACCUGAAGAAUAAGCACCGGCUAACUACGUGCCAGCAGCCGCCGUAA
rnacentral:rRNA from 1 species